AAAAGUUUUUGUUGAAAUUGUUGUAUAAUAUUGUCACAAGAUAAAUUAGUAGUCACCCUAGGUAGGCUAUAGAAGGUGGAUAAGUGCAAAUACUAUAGAGCAACUACAAUUUGCUAUAGAGCAAUUGAGAAUUAUAUGAACUACAUAAAUAUUAAAUAUUUAAUAAGGUUGAAUCCAACAUAGGUGGACAUAACAUAACAACAUAUAGGAGCACAUAACAUACUCUAUACAUUUACAGAUUUUAUUAAUCUUGUUUAAUGUUUUACCAUGUACAGUGUCUCCAUAUAAUAGAAGUGAAUGAGUACCGCCGUUGUUCAGUUACCAACAAUCUUCAAAAUAUUUUCUUUUGUGUUCUGCGGAAGAAAGUAAGUCAUACAGGUUUACAUGAUAUGAGGGUGAGUAAAUGAUGAAAGAAUUUUCAUUUUUGGGUCAACUAUCCCUUUAAACCUUAUUGAUAUCAACAUUCACCCACUCCAUCACUUACUCUUUCUCAUCUGCUGCUCACCCUUAACUUGCUCUCUCUCUCGAACUCUUUGUGUCUGUCUCUCUCUCUCUCUCCAUCAUUGCAUCAGUAUGUUCCUGCCUGUGGCUGUUGUUUAGCAGGCGGACACAGCAGAUCUGUGCUCAGCUCUUUAUUGGUGAGGUGGGAUGUGCCUGCGAGCCCUCUGAACAUCUCUGAGCCGCUUACAGCCCAUGGCGUAUGCUGAACUUCUGAAACCAAGAAGCAAAGUUCUCUCUCUGGAUUUCAGUUUUUUGGGGUGAAGACUGGUACCCAGAAAGGUGAUCAUUCUCUUUCGUGUCUAAAACUAUCGGUGUAAACUUUAUUGAAGACCACCAGGGUCAUUCUUGGCGAGCCAAUGGACGAGACCCGUCUGCCCUCUUUGGAAAAUCCAAUCUACACUGGCUUCAAGGUGUGUAUAUGUGUUAAGAGAAGUAGCCUGCUGUUGAUGUAAAAUGUUGGUACCAGACACGUUAUGCUCCAGAGAAUAUAUUUAAAAGAUACACACACGGGUUACUAGUUAGUCAUUUUGUCAUAACUUACUGAACCAUUUACUCAAGUGUAAGUGUUACCAGAUUGUUGGUGCAAGUUUCUACGGCGAGUUACGGAAUGAAGAUUAUUGCAACCUAAAUGGUGUCUCUUUUCCUCCAAAGUCAUUUCCUGUGAAAUGUUCAAGGACUUGCAGUGCAAUAGCCAGAAUGAGGAGCCAAUCACAGGGGAAUAAUCCCUCUCUCCUGCCAAUCUCUAACUUUUAAACACCUCGCUCUGUGUUGAGAGGAAUUUUAAACAGCUAACCAGAUGUUUCCAUUGGAGACAGACAUAUAGAGGGAUUUAUGCCCUCUCUCACAAGAUUAAAGAUUUAUUCUCACUCUCGUUCUUUCUCUCAAAUGCAUCCCUCUCGCUCUGGCGGGUUUCCGUUACGUGCUUUUGGAUGACCCUUACAAAAAAAAUCACAAAUGAGAUUGAAAUUGAGCAGAGCAAUUGUCACAUUUUCAUUUCAUUUGCCAUGUCAAUUGCUUUUUAUUCAAAUUAUCUCAUGUCCAAUUUUAGAAUAUAGUUCAGCAUUUAGUGCAUUCUCUCCUUCUCUCGCCCGCUGACAGUGAACAGCGCUAACACGGCAAUGUCUAAAGAGUCGAUUUACUUUCAUAUCUCAUGUUCUGUCGGCUUUUGUCAAGAUCCGGUAGCAUCUCAAAAAUGGUGUUCUCUGCCUAACAAGUCCCCAAUGUGAAGUCUUUACAGCUCUCCUCACCAUC